UACGGAGGGUGCAAGCGUUAUCCGGAUUCACUGGGUUUAAAGGGUGCGUAGGCGGGUUGGUAAGUCCGUGGUGAAAUCCCCAAGCUUAACUUGGGAACUGCCGUGGAUACUAUCAAUCUUGAAUAUCGUGGAAGUAAGCGGAAUAUGUCAUGUAGCGGUGAAAUGCUUAGAUAUGACAUAGAACACCAAUUGCGAAGGCAGCUGGCUACACGAAUAUUGACACUGAUGCACGAAAGCGUGGGGAUCAAACAGG
rnacentral:rRNA from 1 species